AAGGAACGCUGGCAGCGUGCAUAACACAUGCAAGUCGAACGAUGACAAAUUCUUAGGGAUUUUGAAGAGUGGCGAACGGGUGAGGAACACGUAAGAAUCUGCCCCUCGGUCGGGGACAACUUUUGGAAACGAAAGCUAAUACCCGAUAUGCUGUGGAGUGAAAGAAUUUCGCCGAGGGAUGAUCUUGCGUCUGAUUAGCUAGUUGGUAUGGUAAUGGCAUACCAAGGCGACGAUCAGUAGCUGGUCUGAGAGGAUGAACAGCCACAUUGGAACUGAGACACGGUCCAAACUCCUACGGGAGGCAGCAGUGGGGAAUUUUCCGCAAUGGACGAAAGUCUGACGGAGCGACGCUGCGUGAAGGAUGAAGGCCCGCGGGUUGUAAACUUCUUUUCUCGAAGAAGAAGCUCUGACGGUAUUCGAGGAAUAAGCAUCGGCUAACUCCGUGCCAGCAGCCGCGGUAAGACGGAGGAUGCAAGUGUUAUUCGGAAUGAUUGGGCGUAAAGAGUCUGUAGGCGGUAUGGAAAGUCUUUUGUUAAAUUCCUCGGCUCAA
rnacentral:rRNA from 1 species